rnacentral:rRNA from 1 species
AGUGAACGCUGGCGGUAGGCCUAACACAUGCAAGUCGAACGGCAGCACAGUAAGAGCUUGCUCUUACGGGUGGCGAGUGGCGGACGGGUGAGGAAUACAUCGGAAUCUACUUUUUCGUGGGGGAUAACGUAGGUAAACUUACGCUAAUACCGCAUACGACCUACGGGUGAAAGCAGGGGAUCUUCGGACCUUGCGCGAUUGAAUGAGCCGAUGUCGGAUUAGCUAGUUGGCGGGGUAAAGGCCCACCAAGGCGACGAUCCGUAGCUGGUCUGAGAGGAUGAUCAGCCACACUGGAACUGAGACACGGUCCAGACUCCUACGGGAGGCACCAGUGGGGAAUAUUGGACAAUGGGCGCAAGCCUGAUCCAGCCAUACCGCGUGGGUGAAGAAGGCCUUCGGGUUGUAAAGCCCUUUUGUUGGGAGAGAAAAGCAGCAGGUUAAUACCCCGCUGUUCUGACGGUACCCAAAGAAUAAGCACCGGCUAACUUCGUG